CCUACGGGAGGCAGCAGUAGGGAAUAUUGCUCAAUGGGGGAAACCCUGAAGCAGCAACGCCGCGUGGAGGAUGAAGGUUUUCGGAUUGUAAACCCCUUUUGUUAGAGAAGAGAAUGACGGUAUCUAACGAAUAAGCACCGGCUAACUCCGUGCCAGCAGCCGCGGUAAUACGGAGGGUGCAAGCGUUACUCGGAAUCACUAGGCGUAAAGAGCGCGUAGGCGGGUUAGCAAGUCAGAUGUGAAAUCCUAUGGCUUAACCAUAGAACUGCAUUUGAAACUGUUAUUCUAGAGUAUGGGAGAGGUAGGUGGAAUUCUUGGUGUAGGGGUGAAAUCCGUAGAGAUCAAGAGGAAUACUCAUUGCGAAGGCGACCUGCUAGAACAUAACUGACGCUGAUGCGCGAAAGCGUGGGGAGCGAACAGGAUUAGAUACCCCAGUAGUC
rnacentral:rRNA from 1 species